CUUGGCUGACCCUAGGACUUGCUGAGGUCUAUACAACUUACGGCCCCAGUACAUUGCUUCAGCUGUGUCUCCUCUUGCAACAGACCUCCCGUCCUGGGUUCCUUCGUCUCUCUGCUGUUUAGAACAAGGUAAGUAACCUCUACACCCAACAUGGGGCUCGAACUCACUACCGUGAGAUCCAGCGUCACAUGCUCUGCCAACUGAGCCAGCCAGAGAGAGCAAGCAAGCACGAGCAAGGGGAGCAGCAGAGGAGGUGGGGAAGCAGGCUCCCCGCUGAACAGGGAGUCCAAAGUGGGACUCGAUCCCAGGACUCCGGGAUCAUGACCUGAGCCGAAGGCAGACGCUUAACCGACUGAGCCACCCAGGUGCCCCGAAGAGGAACAUAUCUGAUAAAUAAAAUCACUUUGAAGUAUUAGUGAUGAAGAGUAUUCUCCCCCUGAGUCAAUACACCUGCUAGGCAUCACUAUUUUUUUAAAGAUUUAUUUAUUUAUUGGGGGUGGGGAAGGAGUGGGGGAGUGGGAGGAGGGGCAGAGGGAGAGGAAGAGAAAAUCCUAAGCAU